rnacentral:rRNA from 1 species
AGUGAACGCUGGCGGUAGGCCUAACACAUGCAAGUCGAACGGCAGCACAGGAGAGCUUGCUCUCUGGGUGGCGAGUGGCGGACGGGUGAGGAAUACAUCGGAAUCUACUCUGUCGUGGGGGAUAACGGAGGGAAACUUACGCUAAUACCGCAUACGACCUACGGGUGAAAGCAGGGGACCUUCGGGCCUUGCGCGAUUGAAUGAGCCGAUGUCGGAUUAGCUAGUUGGCGGGGUAAAGGCCCACCAAGGCGACGAUCCGUAGCUGGUCUGAGAGGAUGAUCAGCCACACUGGAACUGAGACACGGUCCAGACUCCUACGGGAGGCAGCAGUGGGGAAUAUUGGACAAUGGGCGCAAGCCUGAUCCAGCCAUACCGCGUGGGUGAAGAAGGCCUUCGGGUUGUAAAGCCCUUUUGUUGGGAAAGAAAUCCAGCUGGCUAAUACCCGGUUGGGAUGACGGUACCCAAAGAAUAAGCACCGGCUAACUUCGUGCCAGCAGCCGCGGUAA